GGUCAUGAGCGCCAGCGUCAAGCCCCGGCUCGCUGGCCGGCAACCCUCCUCCGCGGUGGGGUGCCCCGGGUGACGACCUGGCCGCGUCCCGCCCGGGGCGUGGCAAGCGCGGGGU
rnacentral:ncRNA from 2 species